rnacentral:lncRNA from 1 species
GUGGAACCCUAUUUACUAAGUUGAUCAAAUUAAAACUAAUGAACCGGUUGGUGUCUAGGGUAAGUUCGGCAGUUUGACCAGUGGUUCUUAAGUGGGAGCUACUCGCAUUGAUUUGAUCUCUGACGAGUUAAUGGCAUAUCCCCACCACUGAUCUCACUUACCUGGCCAACCUGGUGAGUUAGAUUUUGAUUAGAUCACUUGGUGAUUAGGGCUCACCCAUAUCAUUAGGUAAAUCAGUGUGACUGAUUUAGGUGCUCCUAAUGCCAGCUUUAAUUAAAUCCUUUUUAAUCUGACUUGGUGAAGUCAGUGGGAGGAUUGAAAUUGGC